rnacentral:rRNA from 1 species
GUAACACGUAGUCAACCUGCCCUGGAGACAUGGAAAACCCCGGGAAACUGGGAUUAAUCCGUGAUAGGUCACCUCAUCUGGAAGGAGAGAUGGCUUAAAGGGGUGCGAGAGCUUCUUUCUUGCAUUCGCUCCAGGAUGGGACUGCGGCCGAUCAGGCUGUUGGCGGUGUAAUGGACACCAAACCUGUAACCGGUACGGGCCUUGAGAGAGGGGGCCCGGAGAUGGACACUGAGAGAAGGGUCCAGGUCCUACGGGGCGCAGCAGGCGCGAAACCUUCGCAAUGCGCGAAAGCGUGACGAGGUUAAUCCGAGUGGUCCCCGCUGAGGGGAUCUUUUGUUGGCUGUAAAAAGGCCGAUGAAUAAGGGGAGGGCAAGUCUGGUGUCAGCCGCCGCGGUAAUACCAGCUCCUCGAGUGGUCGGGGCGAUUAUUGGGCCUAAAGCAUCCGUAGCCGGUUCUGUAGGUCCUCUGUCAAAUCCAACGGCUUAACCGUUGGCCCGCAGAGGAUACCGCAGGACU